rnacentral:rRNA from 1 species
GACGAACGCUGGCGGCGCGCUUAACACAUGCAAGUCGAACGGAAAGGCCUGCUUUCCCUUGUGGAUUGCGGGUACUCGAGUGGCGGACGGGUGAGUAACACGUGAGUGAUCUGCCCCCAACUUGGGUAUAAGCCUGGGAAACUGGGUCUAAUUCCCGAUAGGACUGCAGGGUGGUGCCUGAGGUGGAAAACGAUUUUCUAGUGGUUGGGGAUGAGCUCGCGGCCUAUCAGCUUGUUGGUGGGGUAAUGGCCUACCAAGGCGGCGACGGGUAGCCGGCCUGAGAGGGUGGACGGCCACAUUGGGACUGAGAUACGGCCCAGACUCCUACGGGAGGCAGCAGUGGGGAAUAUUGCACAAUGGGCGGAAGCCUGAUGCAGCGACGCCGCGUGGGGGAUGACGGCCUUCGGGUUGUAAACUCCUUUCGACCGCGAGGAAGCCACCUGGUUGGAAGGGUGGUGACGGUAGUGGUAGAAGAAGCACCGGCUAACUACGUG